GGGGAUUUAGCUCAGCGGUAGAGCGCUUGCCUAGCGAGCACAAGGCCCUGGGUUCAGUCCCCAGCUCCG
rfam:Rattus norvegicus chromosome X, whole genome shotgun sequence.